CAAUAGCGUAUAUUAAAGUUGUUGCAGUUAAAAAGCUCGUAGUUGGAUUUCUGGAUGGAGCGACCGGUCGGGCAUUAAUUUGUCUGCACUGGAGUCGGUUCCGUCCAUCCUCUUGGAAAGUGCGUCGGGCAUUAAGUUGUUUGGCGCAUGAUCCAAGUCGUUUACUGUGAAAAAAUUAGAGUGUUUAAAGCAGGCCUUCGCCUCGAAUACAUUAGCAUGGAAUAAUAAGAUAGGACUUUGGUCUACUUUGUUGGUUUGCAGACCGAAGUAAUGAUUAAUAGGGAUAGUUGGGGGUAUUUAUAUUCCGAUGUCAGAGGUGAAAUUCUUAGAUUUUCGGAAGAUAAACUUAUGCGAAAGCAUUUACCAAGGAUGUUUUCAUUAA
rnacentral:rRNA from 1 species